rnacentral:rRNA from 1 species
GACGAACGCUGGCGGCGUGCUUAACACAUGCAAGUCGAACGAUGAACCCGGAGCUUGCUCCGGUGGAUUAGUGGCGAACGGGUGAGUAACACGUGAGAAAUCUGCCCUUGACUCUGGGAUAACUGCGGGAAACUGUGGCUAAUACCGGAUAUUUUCCUUGGUGGGCAUCCACUGGGGAAGAAAGAAUUUCGGUCAAGGAUGAUCUCGCGGCCUAUCAGCUAGUUGGUGAGGUAAUGGCUCACCAAGGCGACGACGGGUAGCCGGCCUGAGAGGGUGACCGGCCACACUGGGACUGAGACACGGCCCAGACUCCUACGGGAGGCAGCAGUGGGGAAUAUUGCACAAUGGGCGCAAGCCUGAUGCAGCAACGCCGCGUGAGGGAUGAAGGCCUUCGGGUUGUAAACCUCUUUUAGCAGGGAAGAAGCGAAAGUGACGGUACCUGCAGAAAAAGCACCGGCUAACUACGUGCCAGCCGCCGCCGUAA